rnacentral:rRNA from 1 species
UACGGAGGGUGCGAGCGUUGUCCGGAAUUACUGGGCGUAAAGGGCUCGUAGGCGGCCAACUAAGUCAGACGUGAAAUCCCUCGGCUUAACCGGGGAACUGCGUCUGAUACUGGAUGGCUAGAGGUUGGGAGAGGGAUGCGGAAUUCCAGGUGUAGCGGUGAAAUGCGUAGAUAUCUGGAGGAACACCGGUGGCGAAGGCGACAUCCUGGACCGGUAUUGACGCUGAGGCGCGAAAGCCAGGGGAGCAAACGGG